UUGCAGCGAGAACAUUAUGCUCUUUGUACUACACAGUUGAAUAGUGGAGAGCAGCAUAUACUGAGACUAUAUUUCCUCUGCCGAAUGAAGUCGAGUGGGAAGUUUCUGACCAUAUUCUCCUGUUCAAUAGUUUGUUGCCACCCGCAGUUGAACCGUGUGGUCCUGGACGUCCAAGUACAUCUAGAAUACCAUCUACCGGAGAGUUUCCUCGACCGCGUAGGUGCGGCAGGUGCAGAGUCAUAUGGCAUACUCGCCAAUUUUGUACUAGUCAAAUUCCCC
rnacentral:lncRNA from 1 species